UACGGAGGAUGCAAGCGUUAUCCGGAAUGAUUGGGCGUAAAGCGUCCGCAGGUGGCUAUGUAAGUCUGCUGUUAAAGAGUGAGGCUCAACCUCAUAAGAGCAGUGGAAACUACAUGGCUAGAGUGCGUUCGGGGCAGAGGGAAUUCCUGGUGUAGCGGUGAAAUGCGUAGAUAUCAGGAAGAACACCGGUGGCGAAAGCGCUCUGCUAGGCCGCAACUGACACUGAGGGACGAAAGUUAGGGGAGCGAAUGGG
rnacentral:rRNA from 1 species